rnacentral:rRNA from 1 species
GAUGAACGCUGGCGGCGUGCCUAAUACAUGCAAGUCGAGCGAACGGGCGCGAAGCUUGCUUCUCUGAUGUUAGCGGCGGACGGGUGAGUAACACGUGGAUAACCUCCCUAUCAUUCUGGUAUAACUUCGGAAAACCGGAUCUAAUCCCGUAUGAUCUUUUGAACCGCGUGGUUCAAAAGUGAAAUACGGUCUUGCUGUAACUUCUCGAUGGAUCCGCGCUGCAUUAGCUAGUUGGUAAGGUAACGGCUUACGAAGGCAACGAUGCAUAGCCGACCUGUGAGGGUGAUCGGCCACAUUGGAGCGUGGACACGGACCAGACGCCUACGGGAGGCAGCAGUAGGGAAUCGGCAGCAAUGGGCGAAAGCCUGACGGAGCAACGGCGCGCCAGUGAUGAAGGUCUUCGGAUCGUAAAACUCUGUUAUGAGGGAAGAACAUAUGUGGAAGGAACCGAGCACAUCUUGACGGUAAUUAAUCAGAAAGCAACGGCUAACUACGUG